AAUGGGGGCAACCCUGAUCCAGCAAUGCCGCGUGUGUGAUGAAGGCCUUAGGGUUGUAAAGCACUUUCACUGGUGAAGAUGAUGACGGUAACCAGAGAAGAAGCCCCGGCUAACUUCGUGCCAGCAGCCGCGGUAAUACGAAGGGGGCGAGCGUUGUUCGGAAUUACUGGGCGUAAAGGGCGCGUAGGCGGUCUUUUAAGUUAGGCGUGAAAGCCCCGGGCUCAGCCUGGGAACUGCGCUUAAGACUGGAAGACUAGAAAACGGAAGAGGGUAGUGGAAUUCCCAGUGUAGAGGUGAAAUUCGUAGAUAUUGGGAAGAACACCAGUGGCGAAAGCGGCUACCUGGUCCGAUUUUGACGCUGAGGCGCGAAAGCGUGGGGAGCAAACAGGAUU
rnacentral:rRNA from 1 species